rnacentral:rRNA from 1 species
GAUGAACGCUGGCGGCGUGCCUAAUACAUGCAAGUCGAGCGAAUGGAUUAAGAGCUUGCUCUUAUGAAGUUAGCGGCGGACGGGUGAGUAACACGUGGGUAACCUGCCCAUAAGACUGGGAUAACUCCGGGAAACCGGGGCUAAUACCGGAUAACAUUUUGAACCGCAUGGUUCGAAAUUGAAAGGCGGCUUCGGCUGUCACUUAUGGAUGGACCCGCGUCGCAUUAGCUAGUUGGUGAGGUAACGGCUCACCAAGGCAACGAUGCGUAGCCGACCUGAGAGGGUGAUCGGCCACACUGGGACUGAGACACGGCACAGACGCUUACGGGAGGCAGCAGUAGGGAAUCUUCCGCAAUGGACGAAAGUCUGACGGAGCAACGCCGCGUGAGUGAUGAAGGCUUUCGGGUCGUAAAACUCUGUUGUUAGGGAAGAACAAGUGCUAGUUGAAUAAGCUGGCACCUUGACGGUACCUAACCAGAAAGCCACGGCUAACUACGUGCCAGCAGCCGCCGCUG